UAGUCCACGCCGUAAACGAUGGAUACUAGUUGUUGGGAUUUAUCUCAGUGACUAAGCGAAAGUGAUAAGUAUCCCACCUGGGGAGUACGUUCGCAGGAAUGAAACUCAAAGGAAUUGACGGGGGCCCGCACAAGCGGUGGAGCAUGUGGUUUAAUUCGAUGAUACGCGAGGAACCUUACCCGGGCUUAAAUGUAAGUUGCAUUAGUUAGAGAUAGCUAUUUCUUCGGACUACUUACAAGGUGCUGCAUGGUUGUCGUCAGCUCGUGCCGUGAGGUGUCAGGUUAAGUCCUAUAACGAGCGCAACCCCUAUCGUUAGUUGCUAACAGGUUAAGCUGAGGACUCUAGCGAGACUGCCGGUGCAAACCGAGAGGAAGGUGGGGAUGACGUCAAAUCAUCACGGCCCUUACGUCCUGGGCUACACGCGUGCUACAAUGGCAGGUACAGAGGGUUGCGAAGGGGUGACCUGGAGCUAAUCUCAGAAAGCCUGUCCCAGUUCGGAUUGGAGUCUGC
rnacentral:rRNA from 1 species